rnacentral:rRNA from 1 species
UACGAACGGUCCAAACGUUAUUCGGAAUCACUGGGCUUAAAGCGUCCGUAGGCGGCUCGGAAAGUAGGGUGUGAAAUCCCACGGCUCAACCGUGGAAUUGCGCUCUAAACUAUCGAGCUAGAGGGAGAUAGAGGUGAGCGGAACUGAUGGUGGAGCGGUGAAAUGCGUUGAUAUCAUCAGGAACACCAGUGGCGAAGGCGGCUCACUGGCCCGAUACUGACGCUGAGGCGCGAAAGCGUGGGGAGCAAACAGG